rnacentral:rRNA from 1 species
CGCCAGACUCCUACGGGAGGCAGCAGUCGGUCCUCUUGCGCAAUGUCUGCCACUCUGACUCCCCCACGCCGCCCCUCGCAAGAAGGCUUCCCCAUUGUAGCCUACCGUCGUUAGCGCCGCCAAAAGACUCCACCUAAGGAGGACGCCCCGGCUAACUAUGUGCCAGCAGCCGCGGUAAUACAUAGGGGGCAAGCGUUAUCCGGAAUUAUUGGGUGUAAAGGGUGCGUAGACGGAGAAACAAGUUGGUUGUGAAAUCCCUCGGCUCAACCGAGGAACUGCAACCAAAACUAUUUCCCUUGAGUGUCGGAGAGGAAAGUGGAAUUCCUAGUGUAGCGGUGAAAUGCGUAGAUAUUAGGAGGAACACCAGUGGCGUAGGCGACUUUCUGGACGAUAACUGACGUUGAGGCACGAAAGUGUGGGGAGCAAACAGGAUUAGAUACCCGAGUAAU